GUGCCAGCCGCCGCGGUAAUACGUAGGUGGCAAGCGUUGUCCGGAUUUACUGGGCGUAAAGGAUGUGUAGGCGGAUAUUUAAGUGAGAUGUGAAAUCCCCGGGCUUAACUUGGGGGCUGCAUUUCAAACUGGAUGUCUAGAGUGCAGGAGAGGAAAGCAGAAUUCCUAGUGUAGUGGUUGAAUGCGUAGGGAUUAGGAAGAAUACCAGUGGGGAAGGCGGCUUUAUGGACUGUAACUGACGCUGCGGCAUGAAAGCGUGGGGAGGAAACAGGAU
rnacentral:rRNA from 1 species